rnacentral:rRNA from 1 species
GAUGAACGCUGGCGGCGUGCCUAACACAUGCAAGUCGAACGGAGUCCAGCCUUUAAGACCUUCGGGUCAAAGAGGGGAAGACUGAGUGGCGGACGGGUGAGUAACACGUGGGCAACCUGGCUCAUAGAGGGGGAUAACAGAGAGAAAUUUCUGCUAAUACCGCAUAAGCACACACUGCCGCAUGGCAGAGGGUGAAAAGAGAAUCGCUAUGAGAUGGACCCGCGUCUGAUUAGCCAGUUGGCAGGGUAAGAGCCUACCAAAGCGACGAUCAGUAGCCGAUCUGAGAGGAUGAACGGCCACAUUGGGACUGAGACACGGCCCAAACUCCUACGGGAGGCAGCAGUGGGGGAUAUUGCACAAUGGGGGGAACCCUGAUGCAGCGACGCCGCGGGAGUGAAGAAGUAUUUCGGUAUGUAAAGCUCUAUCAGCAGGGAAGAUAAUGACAGUACCUGUAUAAGAAGCCCCGGCGAACUACGU